UGUCAGUAAUUUUUCUGGGUUACUUUUUUGUAAUCCAAGCAACACUGCCACAUUUAUCAUCGGCUGGUGGCUGGUGGCUUGGGAGAGUUAGUUUGACAGAUCGGUGUAAUCCAAAAUGUCGACAAACAGCAGCCCUUCCACAACCGGAGCCCUGGCAGCCCAUUCGGAUACAAGACGAUGGUAGAACUGAUGCUGGCUCGUGAUAUUGGACAG